UAAUGUUGAGGUGGAACUUCUUGUGAAGUCUUCAGCCACUUGAGCUGUAUUUUUUCCCUACAAGGUGCUUUUUCACACCUCUCAUUUGGCUUUCUUGUCUUCAGUUAGAGUAACAGUAUUCUAGUUAAUGGUGGCUUUUAUUUUAAAGGAAAGAGGAAUGCAAGAAAAGUAAAGCGCUUCACUGAUAAUUUGAUGAUUACUAGAAAGUUGCUCUGCAAAGAUCAUUUCUGUGUCAUAAUGAAGCUGAUAUCUUCUCUCUAUACCCAACCAACCAGCUGUUGGCAAUCAUGCCAAAAACCAAACCAAAACCUGAAAUGGGUUUUCUAUUACCUGCACUUCAGUGUUCUACUGUGACCCAAGAGUUAUGGCAAUAGCUCUCUUUAGCAAGUACCCACUGCUGCUUGUGGGAUGCUGCCGAAGCUCCAGCAGGGCCACAGCAGGAUGCAAGCUCUAGCAGGUUUGUGCUAUAGCAUAUUUGAAAGCUUCUAGUCUUUUCUGUAAAGAGCUAUAUGAAGAAGUUUGUUAAGUUUGGUUGACUUUUGAUCUAUAUUCUAAGUGGUUUUUUUUCCCUGAAGGAAAGGAUAACGUGAUUAGUGUGUUUCUGUAUUAGGAUGCUUCCACUCCCUCCUUUUGAAUUUUAGGGCAUCUUUUAUGCUUGUAUUCUCAAUAUAUACAUACAGAGGCCAUAAUAUUUGACCUUUGGAAAUCCCAUAUUAUGGGUCUGAUUUAUGCUGUGAUGACAGACAUAAGAGCCCACUGAAAUCAGUGUGGCUCUGGAUGGUUACUGUGGUUCCUCUCUGAGCCUCAGAUGGAAGGAUCUGCUUCUAUGUUAAUAUCUAAGAAGAAACAAAGGGAAUUGGAAUUCAUGUUUUAUAAAGAAUCAAUGUAAUUUUCAUGUUCCUACCUCACUCCCCAUCAUCCUAAAAUGCAAAGAAAGCUAACCCCUUAAAAUGUCAAGUGUCAGUGGAGAUGUAUGUUAAAAAUUAAAAUAUAUUUUUUUUUCCACUGCUGUGAAUACUGUUUUAAUGGCACUGGAGAGAUGUGCUGUUGCAGACAGGUGCUCCUGUAGAUUUAAAUACUAUGUCAAUCACACCUGCUCUAAACAGGGUUAAGAGGCAGACAGCUUUCAUCAAAGGCCAGAUGAACCCCUCCCAAUUUAGAUCAACUCCACUGCAAUUAAACAGUGUUAGUGUUAGGCCUUCACAAUUGUCAAUACCUGGUUGCUACCCACUGUUAGCAGCAAUUGAUAGUUAUUCUAAAGAAUUUCUUUAGGUUUUAGAAAAUGCUUUAAAUGAAAGCGUAGAGGAAAACACAGCACUUGGAAAAAGGAGGAGAGGGUGUGGGUAGUUACAGUACUGAACUGCAGAAGAGCUGUAUUUCAUAGUAACUGUGCUGCUGUUUGUUCUUGGAAAAAUCACUUAUUGUUCUCUUAUCCCUGUACUGCUCUGAAGAAUCUACAAAAAAAAACAUUAAGAAAACAAAUUCAAGGAAGCAGUGGAACGUGAAUUCAAGAGCAGAAUGUGAUUGCACAAGGAGAUUCUACACCGAACUGAAACAUUCAUGUUUUGGAUCAUUGAGAACAAAUGAAGUACAAUACUGGUCUGUUCCCUUUCUAUUCUUUUGUCUCCGUUUUGUUUUACUUUCCUUAGCUUAGAUUUUUUUUCCUUUUUGGAGUCCUGCAGGGAGGAAAAAGGAGCCUUUGUUUUAAAAAGUCUGAGACCAACAGUGGCCCAUUGAUCAUAAUUAAGUCUAAAAUAAUACGCUUUUGCUGACCUGUUUGUAUUGAAUCCAAAAAAUUUUAUGUUAUACCUGCUGUAGUCUUAGUCUGCCCCCAGAUUCAGUUGCUUGUUCCUGAGCUUCUGGUUCUGGGGCAUUAGCUUUAAAAGCCUAAAUAAACCUGCGUGUUUUCAGGGCUGCAUGUGAAAACACCUUCUUUUUUGUGUAAGAACAAAUCUGUCAUAAUCAGAUGUUGUCUUUGUCAUGUACUCUCUUUUCUUUGACAGACAGCUGUCCCCAUAACAGCCAUCUCUGUUGUCAAUAACUUCCUCAGAUCGUGAAAUGACACACAGGAUUGCAGUAGUUCUCAUAGUAACACUGGGAGGUUGCAUAAAAUUUUUAAGUAAUCUUGCCGUGAUGUGCUUGGACCCAAUUCAGAGCUUUCUGAAGUCUGUAUGAAACUCUGCUGAUUUCAACAAUCAUUCAUCUCUUCAGGGGCUGCUUCUGACCUUCUGCAUUCAGGUUUUUAACAUGACAAACUACAGAGGCUUCACCCUGUGGCUCUUGGUAGUCUAGUACGCUCUAAUGAGUCAAUAUGCUUAGUCAUAGCGCAAAUAUGCUUCAGGAAAAUAGUGGAGAGAUUCACAAAAAAUAUGUCUUGGCAUCAUUAUCCUAUGAAUGGGGAGUGUUAGGUGCCUUGGACAUGCUUCUAUCUGUUCUCAGCCUGAGUCUUUACAGACACCCACAACACACACGCAGGCAUAGUCCUAUCCAGCUCCUAAGAAUGCAUGAUCAGGAUAAAAGCCCUUCAAAGGUCACCCAAUACCUGUCUCCCAGACUGCUCAUUUGACUCACCAGCUGGUCUGAUUUGGAGUUCAUUAUCAGAUCAGAUGCACAGACAUAGAAUAGAGAACACAAUCACACAGAAGGUAGUUAAAAACUGGAAUUUAAAAAGAGGAUAGGACAGACAGUGGCAAUUAGCCAUGGGGCUCAGUCACACAAACAUACUGACCAGCAGCCUGCUCACAUGCAGAUGGCCUUUUUUUAUAUCCUUGCUCCAACACACCUCAAUCUUUUUAGCUCUUCCCUGAUCUGCCUUUGUUCCUCCCUUCCUUGUCUUUGGCCUUUUCCCCAAACAUCUUAUAGUAAUCCUGUAUCAUUGUAAUAGUCUCCUAAUCAAUCACAGUGUUUCCCUCUCAGACACUUUCUUGUAAAUCCUGCUCUCCUUUAUGCAAUAGUCCCCUUAGGUUGUACAGCCUACCAGAGGGUUUUGAUUGUUGAAUUUCUCAGUAGGUUUUGCGCCAGGGAAACAGCUUUGGUGGUCUUAGGGACAAUUGACUCAGAUGAACCCAGUUUUCUGAAUUUUUGUGUUUAUUUUGAAUAACCAUUAGCUACACUGAUCACAAAUCUGUCUAUUCUGCAUUAUUUACUCCCUUCAGAGCUGCUUAUUCAAUACCAUUAUCAUUAAAAAUCUCAUUUGGCCCAACCAGAUGAAUUGGAAUAGGGUGAGAAUCCACUUAGUGCAUUCUACAGCAACCCAUCCUGCAGCAUGCAUUGAGUCCUCAAGCAGAGAUUAUACUUUACAGUUUUGACUGCUGUGUGUUUUAGGGUAUCUGAGAACACAAGCUUGGUACUGACUUGCUACUGAGGGAUAGCCUUCGGAUUCUGUACAGUUGGAAGGCGAGCAGGGAAGAAUGUAGGGUGGUGAGACCAGCCUGGGCUCACUGCCAGGGGAACCAUGUGGCCGCGGCAGGGACACAACCUGGUAGGUGGAUGAAGACAACCAGUGGGCUGCACCAGAAAGCGAAGAUUACCUUUUAAGAAAGAAAAGAGUGAGGCCUAGCAUGGGAGGACUGAGGGAGUGGUUGUGCAAAUCGAGGGGUCUUAAAAGGGCUCAUCCCUCCCAGUCAGGUGUGCUCGAACCUGGUCACAAGUUCAGUGCAGCCAGCACACUGUUAAUAAAGUUCUUUGUUUCACUUUA